AUUAAACGCUGGCGGCAUGCCUUACACAUGCAAGUCGAACGGCAGCACGGGGGCAACCCUGGUGGCGAGUGGCGGACGGGUGAGUAAAGCAUCGGAACGUAUCCUGGAGUGGGGGAUAACGUAGCGAAAGUUACGCUAAUACCGCAUAUUCUGUGAGCAGGAAAGCAGGGGAUCGCAAGACCUUGCGCUCUGGGAGCGGCCGAUGUCGGAUUAGCUAGUUGGUGGGGUAAAGCCUACCAAGGCGACGAUCCGUAGCGGGUCUGAGAGGAUGAUCCGCCACACUGGAACUGAGACACGGUCCAGACUCCUACGGGAGGCAGCAGUGGGGAAUUUUGGACAAUGGGGGCAACCCUGAUCCAGCCAUGCCGCGUGAGUGAAGAAGGCCUGG
rnacentral:rRNA from 1 species